GGGGGGGGGGGGGGGGGGGGGGGGGGGGGGGGGGGCGGGGGGGGGGGGCGUGCGGUGGGGGGGUGCGCGGGGGGCGAGCGGGUGGGUGAGGCGUGCGUGACCUGCCCUUGACUUUGGGAUAACUUCGGGAAACUGGGGCUAAUCCCGGAUGGGGGCUCCUGCUGCAUGGUGGGGGUUGGAAAGUUUCGGCGGUUGGGGAUGGACUCGCGUCUUAUCAGCUUGUUGGUGGGGGCGUGGCUUACCAAGGCUUUGACGGGUAGCCGGCCUGAGAGGGUGACCGGCCACAUUGGGACUGAGAUACGGCCCAGACUCCUACGGGAGGCAGCAGUGGGGAAUAUUGCACAAUGGGCGGAAGCCUGAUGCAGCAACGCCGCGUGCGGGAUGACGGCCUUCGGGUUGUAAACCGCUUUCGCCUGUGACGAAGCGUGAGUGACGGUAAUGGGUAAAGAAGCACCGGCUAACUACGUG
rnacentral:rRNA from 1 species